UUUUGCCUCCCAUUUUUUUACAUGACAUUUUACUUCUUUCACAUUCAUGUGCUGACACGGCUUGUUUACGUUCUAAAUUCUGUCUGAAUUUCUGUAACCUCAGCAACACCUGUAACAGAGCAUCAGUUACUCUAAAGUGGACAGGGAAGGAAAUAUUUUCCUGGAGAAACAUCCUGGAAUUCUCUGAUUAAGUAAUUUGCAAAAGAUUGGUAGCCAUAAGCUUCCUCUUAAAUGGACAUGCUUUCCAGUUUUAAUGGGCUUGCUUUGAGGAGAAAAGGCGUCAUUUAAUAAAGGAGAUAGGAAGUAUAAGCCGAAUCAUCCAUUUUUUCUUAGUCUUCCAAUUUUUAGUGAUCCUUUCCUGCACAAAGCUUUUUGUAACAUUCUAGAAGUAAACAGGUAAUGAAGCUGUAGAAAUAUUAACCCACCAAAGACUGGCCUGUCAUAUGAUUACAAGGCAUUUAGGAAAUGACUUUUUUUAUUUUUAAUAAUAGACCAGUGGUGCUAAGUUUCCUGUUAAGAUUCAACCAUGGGUGUUAUUUGGCUUCUAAUGGGUCAUAGUGAUUAUAGUAAUUUAGGUAAGCUACUACUUCUGUUUCUGUCAUCCUGCAAGAGUAAGAAUUUCCCUUGUUAUCUUGAACAGUUGCUAAAUGUUAGAAAUGUUAAGGUAGUGAAAUGAAUAAUGAGAAACCCAACUUUCUACCAAAAAAUUAACAAAAUACAUAGAUUAGGGGGAUAUAGAAAGUGAACUCUAGUCAUGAUUUGGAUCCUGAAAAGAUGGAAUAACGUGGGCUGUAGUUACUUACCUUUGAUAUUGGUCCUUAGGAGACAUUUUAGAAAGUUAAGGUAUUUAGUGGCACAGAAGUUAGAAGUUUGAUCUUGAUACCAUAGAUGUGACUAAAAUCUGGUUCUGACUUUCUGGUCUGUAUAGUUGGAAUAAGGCUUGUGAACAGUGCUAACUGAGGAGAGUUUGCCAGUCUAACAACUUUGUGUGAUAAUUUGGCAUCUUAUUAGAGAAUAUGAUUCUAAUGAAUUUUGUUCUGUAUCCUGCAGAUAGUUGAUGCUUUGGCCCCUUCAUUCGUAUACUUGUAUUUAGCAUGCUAUAAUAAGAUUCCAUCCCCUCUUUAGGAGCACAGACCUCUUCUCUUACUGAAAUGUUCUAUCUUUGCCAGGUGUUGUUCGAUAUUACAAUAACUUUAGAUAAAGCAUUGUGUGCUUAUAGAACCUUGUGUUUGAAGGGGGAAAAAAGUGAAAGUGGAGUUAAAUUCUCACUCAGACUGUGCUUAAUUGGAAACAUAGAACUUAAACUUCAGAAAAAUCUGUAUUGAUAAAUUUGGUCUUUCACAUAUUUCCUUUCUGGUUGCAAUGGUUGUAAGAGGUCAGGGCAGUUGAAGUCUAUAUAGUUUUUAGAAACUAAAGAGUUGAAUGGGACCUCCAAGAAGAUUUAUUUAAUGAGUGAAAUGGAAGUCCUUUUGAUAGAUAUUUCCUUUAAACUCUUUACUAUUACAGGAUUAAACUGUAUCAUUGAAGUCUGAUAAUUGAUGAUACCUAGUAUAAAUCAGCAUUUUUCUGGUGUUCUCUUUUUAACUAUUUAGUCAAGUUAUAGUAACUUUUUUGAAAAGGCCUGAUGGGACUGUUUUAAUAUUGUCAACCUUUAACUUUGAUCAGGUAUACUCUUAUACUUACCCACCCACCUCCCGCCCCCCUCCCGCACCCACUUCUCUCCAAUUCAUUUGUAGACAGCAGCAGUAUUUUCAUUUCUUUUGCUUCCUCAUUUGUAUUUUUAAAAGAUUCGUCUUUGUCAUUAUGUACAGUGAGAGAUCUGUGAAAGAUCAAGAAAAUCUUGACCUGGAUAGGGUAGUAGAUCCAAGCCAUAAGUUUCCUGAGGAGGUUCUUUAGUUUAUUCUACUUGCACCAUUUAUAAUGACCCCAGUGGCAGAUUUCUAUAAAAGGCCUGUCACUUUUAUGCUUGCUUACACUUCUAAUCCAGUGUCUGGUUGAGAAGUUUGGUUCAUAGCUUCAAAAUAAUUCAAGAAAAUUGAUUUCAGUUCUCUCUGCUUCAGUCAUCUUCUUCCUCUCUCUGCUUCAGUUGGAUCUAGAAUCCUCUGAUUAGGUCAAGGAGAAACAGAUCAGAUUAUACCCCAAAUUGCUCCUUUCAUUGAGGAAUAAAUGACCUACCUAAAAUCACUUCCCUUUGGAGUAUAAGCCCUAGAGGAAACAGUUAUUUAAUAUCUUUGCUUUCUUUGAGCUAGUAUUAGAAAAUUCUGGUUCCUGUUGAUAUGAUCAAGUUAUUGUUUUCUGACUUAUUGGUUAUUUUCUUUCUUUUUUUUUUUUUUUUAAAGUCACAGAAUCUUCACAUCCCUGAAAAACUCAAGUUGCUUCUUCAACUAGGGUCUCACUAGUAAUUCUACAGCCAAUGUGCAAGGAUGUGUGGCAAACUUCGUAGAGCAUAGGGAAGGAAUAUAGUGACUCACAUACUUUUAAAGUUCAUUUUCCAUCCUGCCUUGUAGAAAUGGUACUAGAGGUGUGAUAAGUGAAAUUAGCUUUGUUUUUCAGGUACUAAUAUCCUGUGAGACACAAACAUUUAGAGAAUUUUCUCUCAUUUCUCAUUGGGGUGAAGCUCAGAGAGCUUUUAUUCUUCUACCUUUUGUACUGCAGAAUCAUUUGUACUGCAGAAAAAAGUAGCUGGGAGUAUGGCCCUCCUAUAAGGCAACCAAAUAAGAAAAACGGAAUGAGUCAACAGGCCAGGACAGCAGAAUAAUUUCUGUGGGGUGAUCGUUUCUGUGUCUUAAUGCAUUUUGGAAUAUGGAUUUAAGCCACCUUGUCACUAGACAUUUGGAGCAAUUAACUUUGUUAAAUCAUUUUUAUUGCAAUUAAAAGACAACCGUAUAGAUUGUAAAUAGUAUAUUGACAGAAGGUAAGUCCUCAACUUCUUCCCAUAUCAUCAAUGAGCCAGGAUAAAUUUCCCAAAUAAAAAAAUCAGUGUUUGUAAUUUGCUUCCAACAAAGGAUGGGAAGUGGAAGAGAGACAUAAAACUGUAGCAUUAAUAAUACUAAUUUUAUCAGAUUUCAAAUAAGAGUAAGUAAACUUAUAAAGUGACAUGCUAAUUCUUUUUGUAUUACUUUCCCUUUUUGUUAUUUAAAGCCAAAUUCCAGAAAUAAAAAUCUUUAUCAUACUGUUUUCUUCUUGCUAAAGCUGGAAGGAUAAAAUAAAAAGUUCAGCAACAUCAGAAAAUGUUUGAUCUAAAAUAAUAAUGAAGAGUAUGGUUGUUAAGUACAUGAACCAAAUCGACUUCCUUGUUCCCUUUGAGAACUCAUGGUUGUCUAGCAAAUGCAUGUAGGUUUGUUUUUAGUGUAUAACAUGAAUAGACAGUGCUUCCUUUUGCCAUUUCAAAAUAAUUGCUUUGAAAUACCCUUCUCAGUCUGUAAACUUUAGAGGCAUGUGUAUAUACAGGUAUGUUUUAUAAACCAUGAAUUUGUCUGUUUCCACUAAGUAUGAUCAAUUUGAUUAAUAAAAGCAGGUUUACUUUUUACCACUUAAAGUUUUGAUCUUAGGGCUGUUGAGAAAAAUUAAAGUGAUUCAUAACAGUUUAGAUGAAGAAGGAAGUAACACGGUUACAUCCAGUACCUUGGCACUAGAUCCUUUUAGGCCUAUUUCCCCACCAAAACAAGCUGUAAGUUUUCAUUUCUUCAUGGCACUGUGUUCUAUUAAACUGUAUUAACAUUUGUGCUAGCAUGGAGCAUGUACUUUUUUAUAUAUAAGUGUUAGAAUUUCAGCUAUUUUAGUUGAAACACAAAAUUGUUACUUAUCCAAUAAAAGUAUCAAAGGCCAAACCA